GCUGGUCUGAGAGGAUGAUCAGCCACACUGGGACUGAGACACGGCCCAGACUCCUACGGGAGGCAGCAGUGGGGAAUAUUGGACAAUGGGGGCAACCCUGAUCCAGCGAUGCCGCGUGAGUGAUGAAGGCCCUAGGGUUGUAAAGCUCUUUUGUCAGGGAAGAUAAGACGGUACCUGAAGAAUAAGAUCCGGCUAA
rnacentral:rRNA from 1 species